GCAUGAAGUCGGAAUUGCUAGUAAUCGCGGAUCAGCAUGCCGCGGUGAAUACGUUCUCGGGCCUUGUACACACCGCCCGUCACACCAUGGGAGUCGGUAACACCCGAAGUCUGUAGCCUGACGCAAGAGGGCGCAGCCGAAGGUGGGAUUGAUGACUGGGGGUGAAGUCGUAACAAGGUAGC
rnacentral:rRNA from 1 species